AGGAGCCUCCACUGCAGCACCCAGAGGAUCCACCACUGCUCCCACCUCCAGUAAUUAUGAUCUUUCCUCCUGAAGACCCACCACUGCUGGAUCCUCCACCACAGCAACCAGAGGAUCCACCACUGCUUCCACCUCCUCCAAUGAUGCUCUUGGAUCCCGAGUAACCACCACUGCUGUAUCCUCCUCCUAUUCCGUAGCUGGAUCCCCCACUACAGCAUCCUGAGGAUCCUCCACUGCUUCCACCUCCUGUAAUUAUGAUCUUGCCACCUGAAGACCCACCACUGCUGGAUCCCCCACCACAGCAUCCAGAGGAUCCACCACUGCUUCCACCUCCUCCAAUGAUGCUCUUGGAUCCCGAGUAACCACCACUGCUGUAUCCUCCUCCUAUUCCGUAGCCCGAGGAGCCUCCACUGGAGCACCCAGAGGAUCCACCACUGCUUUCACCUCCUCCAAUGAUGAUCUUUCCUCCUGAAGACCCACCACUGCUGGAUCCUCCACCACAGCAUCCAGAUGAACCUCCUCCUCCUCCUCCUGAGCUAAUGAUGAUCUUCUGGCUCGAUCCCCCACUGCCACCGCUGUAUCCUCCUCCCACGCUGUAUCCCGAGGAGCCCCCGCAGCAGGAGGAGCCCUGUGCCUGGUAGCUGGAGGAGCUGCCCCCACUGCAGCAUCCCCCGGACUGGGAAGAUGACUCGUGGCAGCCUCCGGAGCUCUGUCGGGAACACAUCUCUGAGCAGCGGCCCUGCAAGAAAUAGCAGUGUUAUUCAGGAUCCCCUCAGAGCUGCUGCUGAAGCUUCACACCAAACCCCAAAACAAUCAGACUUCCAAUCUGCCCCAGAUUCUCCUGUCAUACUGGGAUAGUAGCUUCAUAAUACCCUUCUUCUUUGAUAGACAGCAGGAAAGGAAGCAAAGGGAUUGAGAAAGUCUCCGUAUCAAUGGGCUUACCUUCAACACAGCUGGAUGUGUGCAAGGCUUGGUGGUAGGCGAAUGAAGAGCCGUAGGAUACGUUAGCCUUUAUACUGGGCUCGUAAGGGAAGUGAGGCAAUGCUGAUGGAUUUAUUUACUGAACCUGGCUUCACCUGCCUCCUUUGACUCACUUGC
ensembl:lncRNA